rnacentral:rRNA from 1 species
UACGUAGGGUGCGAGCGUUAAUCGGAAUUACUGGGCGUAAAGCGUGCGCAGGCGGUUCGUUGUGUCGGCGGUGAAAGCCCCGGGCUUAACCUGGGAAUGGCCGUCGAAACUGGCGAACUGGAGUGUGGCAGAGGGGGGUGGAAUUCCGCGUGUAGCAGUGAAAUGCGUAGAGAUGCGGAGGAACACCGAUGGCGAAGGCAGCCCCCUGGGCCUGGCCUGACGCUGAGGCGCGAAAGCGUGGGGAGCGAUCCGG